CCUACGGGAGGCAGCAGUGGGGAAUAUUGCACAAUGGGGGAAACCCUGAUGCAGCGACGCCGCGUGAGUGAAGAAGUAAUUCGUUAUGUAAAGCUCUAUCAGCAGGGAAGAAAAUGACGGUACCUGAGUCAGAAGCCCCGGCUAACUACGUGCCAGCAGCCGCGGUAAUACGUAGGGGGCAAGCGUUAUCCGGAUUUACUAGGUGUAAAGGGAGCGUAGACGGCAGUGCAAGUCUGGAGUGAAAGGCGGGGGCUCAACCCCCGGACUGCUCUGGAAACUGUACGGCUGGAGUGCAGGAGAGGUAAGUGGAAUUCCUAGUGUAGCGGUGAAAUGCGUAGAUAUUAGGAGGAACACCAGUGGCGAAGGCGGCUUACUGGACUGUAACUGACGUUGAGGCUCGAAAGCGUGGGGAGCAAACAGGAUUAGAUACCCCUGUAGUC
rnacentral:rRNA from 1 species